rnacentral:rRNA from 1 species
UACGUAGGUGGCAAGCGUUUGUCCGGAAUUAUUGGGGCGUAAAGCGCGCGCGAGGUUGGUUUCUUAAGUCUGAUGUGAAAGCCCACGGCUCAACCGUGGAGGGUCAUUGGAAACUGGGGAACUUGAGUGCAGGAGAGAAGAGUGGAAUUCCCGGUGUAGUGGUGAAAUGCGUAGAUAUCGGGAGGAACACCAGUGGCGAAGGCGACUACCUGGCCUGUCCUUGACGCUGAGGCGCGAAAGCUAGGGGAGCAAACGGG